UAUAGUAUUCAAAGUUCUCUGGGGCAAACAUGAGGCCAAUGGCAGCCAAUGACAAAGCUACAAAUAAACACAAUAGAAAACAAAUAAAAAUCAAGCACAGGGGUUUCACAUUCCAAACCAUGCUCUCCUAUCUUAACGAGUUCCUCUCCCCAGACUCUCUCUUGCGUGUCUUUGUGGUAGGUACAGCUGUGUUGUGAGUGCCAACUCACUGACAAUGACUG